rnacentral:lncRNA from 1 species
UGAAAAGGCAUUUCAAAGGUUGGAAAGAGAGCUUCAGCAUUAAUCAUGAUGGGAUAGCGGAAACUGGCUUUGCAAGGGAUGGACUGGACUUCAGGGAAGAUGGACAGCCUGAGCUCACUUUCAGGAGAGCUCACUUUCAGGAGAUCAGUCAGGGCUGUCAUUCCAGGGCCUGGGUGGAGGGCUUCUGCUGUGCCAGGGAACAGGUGUCUGGACUCGGUCUCCCAGGGUGAGCGCCGUCUGCUGCCAGUCCUUGCAGAGACUGGACUGUAGCUCUGAGUGCAUGAUUUGUAGGCCAGGAUCCUCCCCUGCCCCUGAGGCUGAGGCCAACAUGGGGGGUGGCUGCCUUUAAGGCUGGUCUGGGAUUGUCCAUGUACUUACUGAGCCAAGGAGGAAGAACCAAAAUAGAUGCUGGGAGAAAGCAGAGGUCAGAGGCUCAGAGAGGCAAGUCCUGUGUCGGGCUGGAAGGGGAUAGUAGAAUUGGGGGUGUAGCGGGGGAUGGUGUCAAUAGCCAGUGGGAAUGAGGACUAAGGGAAGAGCCCAUCUCACAGGACUCCUGGGCCUAGCAAAGGGUAGGUGAUCAAUGACUAUUUAAGUAAUUAAUAGUUCAGCAACAAAGGACAGUCUUGUGGGGGUAGGGGCAGCUCCUAAAAAGGGCUGUGGUAGGAAGGGUGGGGCAGGAAGGUCUAUGUGGCUGAGCCCCUCUGGGACCCUCAAACUCCAGUGUCAAGUCUUCUGUCCUUUUGAGCCCAAGUGACACCACUGAUUUUUUUUUUACUCUAUCUUGAGGGAGAAGCAGGCCCCCCACAAAGGACAUAAAUCUCUACAGAUGAGGAUACCUCACUGGGCUUUUGUUUGUCAGCCAAAAAGGGAAAAACAUUUCAGCAGAGGCCUCAAAGGCAGAACAAAAUAGUGCAAGGAGCCGCACAUCCGCACAGUGCUGAGACCCUGCCCAGGACAAGCUUGAUGAGAAAACAGAGUCUCUUCCCGCAGCUGGUAAGUAUUGAACUUAGGAUUCAAAUCAAGGCCAUUCUCUCUUAUAUAUGGUGCUAGACUGUUG